AACACUGUUAACCUGCGGUACCUGCGGAAGGAUCAUUACAGAGUUGCAAAACUCCCUAAACCAUUGUGAACGUUACCUAAACCGUUGCUUCGGCGGGCGGCCCGGGUCCUUCCCGGCGCCCAUCGGCCCUCGCGGGCGCCCGCCGGAGGUAAACCAAACUAUUGCAUUGUAUGGCCUCUCUGAGUCUUCUGUACUGAGUAAGUCAAAACUUUCAACAAUGGAUCUCAGAUCGGAAGAGCA
rnacentral:misc_RNA from 1 species